rnacentral:rRNA from 1 species
UACGAAGGGGGCUAGCGUUGCUCGGAAUCACUGGGCGUAAAGCGCACGUAGGCGGCUUUUUAAGUCAGGGGUGAAAUCCUGGAGCUCAACUCCAGAACUGCCUUUGAUACUGGGAAGCUUGAGUCCGGGAGAGGUGAGUGGAACUCCGAGUGUAGAGGUGAAAUUCGUAGAUAUUCGGAAGAACACCAGUGGCGAAGGCGGCUCACUGGCCCGGGUACUGACGCUGAGGUGCGAAAGCGUGGGGAGCAAACAGG